AGUGAACGCUGGCGGUAGGCCUAACACAUGCAAGUCGAACGGCAGCACAGUAAGAGCUUGCUCUUACGGGUGGCGAGUGGCGGACGGGUGAGGAAUACAUCGGAAUCUACUUUUUCGUGGGGGAUAACGUAGGGAAACUUACGCUAAUACCGCAUACGACCUACGGGUGAAAGCAGGGGAUCUUCGGACCUUGCGCGAUUGAAUGAGCCGAUGUCGGAUUAGCUAGUUGGCGGGGUAAAGGCCCACCAAGGCGACGAUCCGUAGCUGGUCUGAGAGGAUGAUCAGCCACACUGGAACUGAGACACGGUCCAGACUCCUACGGGAGGCAGCAGUGGGGGAUAUUGGACAAUGGGCGCAAGCCUGAUCCAGCUAUACCGCGUGGGUGAAGAAGGCCUUCGGGUUGUAAAGCCCUUUUGUUGGGAAAGAAAAGCAGCAGGUUAAUACCCCGCUGUUCUGACGGUACCCAAAGAAUAAGCACCGGCUAACUUCGUG
rnacentral:rRNA from 1 species